UCGUCUCUACACGAUAAUCCAAACAACCAUUUCUCUUCUCUUGCCCAAGUUGUUCUUGAAACCCUAAUUUUUGCUGACAAAAGCCUGUUUUCUUGAUUCAAACAUGUCACAUUUCACACGCUACCGCUACCGUUUCUCUUCUUUUCCUUCAGACACAAACAUACCAUCCGCCUCACCAACAAAUACCGCCAUCUCUCUCCAUGCCAAACAUCUCAUAUUUUCUCCAUCUUUUUUCUAUCUCUCUCCACGACAAACAUCUCACUAUGGCCAGACCUUAGGAGAAAUUGAAGGACAUCAAUCCAAGUAAGGAACUAUAGAAAAUUGCCGUCAGAAUCCAUUGAUAAAGAGAUCUCUCAUUUGACGCAGUCGGUUAUGCCUGGCAGAUUAUGAAUUGUUUUCUUACCGCAAGUUAUUCGCUUACCCUCAGGUGGGUUAUGGACGAAGCGAAAAAAUCUACAAAAUCUGGUUCUCUUAAUGAAGUGGCAAAGGUGUUGCUUAACAAUUUAUUGUCUUUACCUUUUGCAAUAAUCGUGACAUUCCUUUUCGGCGGGUGGGAUUAUGUAAUACACGCCGACGUAGUGGACUGAUCGGACUUUCCAUCAGUUUUACCUCAAUGUGGUUUUUACAUCAAACUAGCAUGUUGUCAUUCAGUUGUGAUGUUGACAGAAGUUCUUUUCGAUGCAGUAUAUUCUCUAAUUGCAGGAUCCCAGUCCUCACAUUUUCAGUUUGGCUCAGACUUGCUUUGAGUUUGAAGGAAAAAGGUUUGAAUGCUUAUAGUAUUUCUUGUGGAAGUUGUCUGCUUUACAAUAGCACGAUUCCUAGGCACACAAAAAAGUUGUGGACUUAGUAAGGGAUGCAGCCAAGAUGAAAAUCCCUUCAUACCAUCGUCACAUCGAUGUUGUCGUGGCCUGUGAGGAUGCGAUGAUAACGAUAUUGAUAUC